UACGGGGGGAGCAAGCGUUGUUCGGAUUUACUGGGCGUACAGGGCGCGUAGGCGGCCACCGCAGGUCGACUGUGAAAUCUCCGGGCUUAACCCGGAAAGGUCAGCCGAUACUGCGGGGCUAGAGUGCAGAAGGGGCAACUGGAAUUCUCGGUGUAGCGGUGAAAUGCGUAGAUAUCGAGAGGAACACCUGCGGCGAAGGCGGGUUGCUGGGCUGACACUGACGCUGAGGCGCGAAAGCUAGGGGAGCGAACGGG
rnacentral:rRNA from 1 species